CAGCAGACGACUCCGAUCCAGAUACGUUUUCAAACCGGCAAAUCCGCGUUACAGUCACACCCGUUUCAGGGCUGUAACACGGAUCCAGCCCAGGUGCGGUUUCAGUGGGCGGGAACUACAGUCGCAGAGCGGAUCCGGGCCGCGUCCGUAGAAACGAGCGCGCGGUUUUUUCCGUUUUUUUUUUCUGAAGUUCAGAACAGGAGAAGAUGUCAAGACGGUCGAGGAAAAUACAGACUGCUCGCUGUUAUCCUCAAAAACCCCACCAAGGUAUGACACACCGUGCGAACAAACUAAAUCAAUGUCUUAUGCUGUGAAACUUAUUCGAUAACUUAAAGGUUUGGUGUUUUUUAUUGAUUCUUAGAUCUGUGUCAGACUGUAGCUAUUGUUGGCGAACACUAAGGCCUAUGUUAUCAGAGGACUUGCUAACAUGAAGAAAACGUCCAGAGGUUCCAGAGCAGGGACUGUCAGAUAGUAAGAGACAAAUGAAAAGGAGGGAACUGUUUUUAAGCUGUGGAGUCAGACGGAGGGAUCCCAUUAACCUCAAAAACAGCAUUGCAGAGGACUCUAUUACUACUAGAACCAACUCAAUCACACAAUGGUGACACAUUUAUAAGAACAUUUCCCUGUGAUAUAAACACUUGCCUGUGGUACUUGUUCAGAUUAUUCUCUUUCUCAUUGUGUAGCACUGGUUUAAAGGGUCUGUUCACCCAAAAAUUUUAAUUCUGUGUUAACUACUCACCCUCAUGUCAUUCUAAACCUGUAAGUUCUCCAUUCAUCUUCGGAACACAAAUUAAGAUAUUUCUUGAAGAAUUCUGAGACCCCUCUGACCCUUAAGCUCACACAUAAUAGCAUGCUCUGCUCACAUUCAGUGCAUGGAUCCUCUCCAAAUUAGCACCAUGGUGAAAUCAAGGAGACAGUUUGUUGAAUAAAGUCAUUAUAUUUGUUACAAAAAGUAUUCUCGUAGCUUUGUAAAAUUAUUGUUGAAUCCCUGUUGUCACAUAGAUUAUUUUACCGAUCUUCUUGCCACGUUUCUGUACCUAGAUCGUGAUAAUUACAUUGCUAUCUAUGGGAGGGUCAGAGAGGUCUCAGAAUUCAUCAAAAAUAUCUUAAUUUGUGUUCCAAAGAUGAACAAGUUGUCUUACGAGUUUGGAACAACAUGAGUGUGAGUAAUUAAUGACAGAAUUUUUAGAUUUGGAUGAACUUACCCUUUAAGCUUAGUGAAUAUUAUGUACAGGAAGCACUAGAAUUAUAGACUUGUACUGCUUGGGGUAGUGUACCAAAUAAACCUUUAAUUUUGCUUUUUUGUGCAUAAAUUAUCAAAAUGAAAGAAAAAUGCACAAUGGCACGUCUUUUGCAUUGUUUUUUGUAGUAAUUCAAUUGUUUUAAUAUGAAUAUUGUUUUAAUAGUGUUCAAUACUCAGUACUUUAAACGUUUUGUUGUCUUAAGAGGUUUGUAUAACAACUUAACAAAAAAAAAAAUAUCAGUGCCAUAAGACAAUCAAAUAUUUUAUUAUCUGUUAUGUAAGAUGCUUGUAAUGAUUGCUUUAAUGGUAUUAAUUAUUUCAUAAUCUACUUAUGUGAUUUGUAUUAUCAGGUAACUGUACAAAUACUGUGGUAUAUGGACAUUACUUUUUAUUUGUAACAAAGAAACAUGCAUUUUCUGUAAAGGUGUUCUGAAAUAUGUAUUGUGAACAGUACUAUCCAAAUAAACUAACUGUAUUUGAAUUCUAGAUAUGUAUGCAACUUAUUUGUGUGUGUGUGUGUUAGCAUAUAUAUGUGAGCUGGCCCAGAUCCGGCACGGAUCCAAAAUGGUACUGGACCAGAUCCGGCCCACAUUUAGGCCAAAUCAUAAUAAAGGAAUCCAGAGCUGGCCCAGCUCUGGUCCGGAUCCGGUAAAAACGGAUCCGUGCCGGUAUUGGCCCGUUGUGCCAAAAGACCCCGGCCCAAGUCCGUUGCGCGGAUCUGGGCCAGAUCUUCCGAUUGGCCUGGGCCAGAUUUGGCCCAGAUGAGUUUUGCUG